UACGAAGGGUGCAAGCGUUACUCGGAAUUACUGGGCGUAAAGCGUGCGUAGGUGGUUUGUUAAGUCUGUUGUGAAAGCCCCGGGCUCAACCUGGGAAUGGCAAUGGAUACUGGCAGGCUAGAGUGCGGUAGAGGGUAGUGGAAUUCCCGGUGUAGCGGUGAAAUGCAUAGAGAUCGGGAGGAACACCAGUGGCGAAGGCGGCUACCUGGACCAGCACUGACACUGAGGCACGAAAGCGUGGGGAGCAAACAGGAUUAGAACUACCG
rnacentral:rRNA from 1 species